rnacentral:rRNA from 1 species
GAUGAACGCUAGCGACAGGCUAGACACAUGCAAGUCGAGGGGCAGCGAGAAAGUGCUUGCACUUUUGUCGGCGACCGGCGCACGGGUGAGUAACACGUAUGCAACCUGCCCUUGUCAGGGGGAUAAGCGGGGGAAACCCCGUCUAAUACCGCAUAUAUGGUUUGGAGGCAUCUCUAAGUCAGGAAAGAAUUAUCGGACAAGGAUGGGCAUGCGGGACAUUAGGUAGUUGGGGGUGUAACGGACCACCAAGCCGACGAUGUCUAGGGGUUCUGAGAGGAGGGUCCCCCACACUGGUACUGUGACACGGACCAG